GGUGGGUCCGAAGGUAGUGAGUUAUCUCACUUGAUUGUUCACAGUCAGUUACAGAUUGAACUCCUUGUUCUACUACUUUCCCUCCUUCUCGAUACUGCACUUGACUAGUCUUUA
rnacentral:Y_RNA from 1 species